GGAGGGAUGACAGAGCGGACGAAUGUACUGGUCUUGAAAACCAGCGUGGUGAAAGCCACCGAGGGUUCGAAUCCCUCUCCCUCCGCCA
rnacentral:tRNA from 2 species